rnacentral:lncRNA from 1 species
CCACCCCUAGGAAUUCUAGGGUAAAUUAUCUCAUAUAUUAAUCUACCAAGUUUGUUAGGUUAGUAGAGUCUUACAGAAGAGGAAGGCUGAAGCCUUGGUAGGCUAAGGAAAUCAUAGCAGAGAUACACACGUCCAGCCCAGCAUUGACUGAGAACAGGCUGUAGGCCAGAGGAAGGCUGCAGGAAACAGGUGUUCAGAGGAAGGACUAGCUGAGUGUCUGAAACCCACUGGGGGUUGUGGCAUCCCUGGGCCAUAGCAAAAUGCUGAAGUAAAGCAGUUACUCCCCUGGUCUUUGGAACCAUUGUUCUCAGUAGGGUAGCAUUUGUGAUAUGGCAUCCAUUCUAGGAAGCCUGGACCACAUGGAGGCAGGCACCACCAAUGGCAGGAGCAUGGCUAAAAUGUGGUAUGUGUAUUGGUUAGCCUUUUCUCACUGUGACAAUACUUGAGGAAAAUAACUUAGAAAAGAAAUCAUGGAUUUUGGCUCUGGGUCUCAUUGCUCUCCAUUUGAUUAUGCACUGAGUCUGUCUAUAAUGACAUAAGUGUAUGGCAGUGGAAAGUUACUCAGCCUCUUGCCAAUCAGGGCAUAGAUUAGGAGAGAGAGAAUGAGGGUGAUAGAGGGAGGGAAAGAAAGAUAGGAGGAUGAGGAAUACUACUAGGAGAAUGAAGAUUAAGGGGAGCCAACUGGGAAAAUAUACACCUACCAAAGGCCCUCUUCUGUGCAGGUCUUUCUUCAACCAUGCCCAAACUAGCUGCAGUUCAUACCACCUCCCAGUAUUGUAUUCAUCUUGAAUGAGUAUUUCAUGAUAACAUCAGAGCACUCACCAUCGAAUGCUUCCCCCAAAACUGACCUAUGAUCAUUGCUGAAUUGGGGACCAGUCACUCAACAUUUGAGCCUUUUGCAGGAGAUUCUGGAUGCAAACCCUUGCAGUGUCCUAUGGCAGAUACAAGAGGAACUGAAAUGUUCUGCCAAAGCAGCAGAUAUUAUGUCUGUUGAAGUCAUUUUUUCCUCAGGAAGAACUAUUGAGGACAUCUUUGUAGGUAUUGGAG